rnacentral:rRNA from 1 species
GCAUAACGCGAAGAACCUUACCAAGGCUUGACAUCCCUUUGACCAGUGCAGAGAUGUACUCUCUCCUUCGGGAGCAAGGGUGACAGGUGGUGCAUGGUUGUCGUCAGCUCGUGUCGUGAGAUGUUGGGUUAAGUCCCGCAACGAGCGCAACCCUUAUCCUUAGUUGCCAGCAAGUUAAGUUGGGCACUCUAGGGAGACUGCCGAUGAUAAAUCGGAGGAAGGUGGGAUGACGUCAAAUCAUCAUGCCCCUUAUGUCUUGGGCUACACACGUGCUACAAUGGUCGGUACAACGGGCAGCGAAGGAGCGAUCUGGAGCAAAUCCCAAUAAACCGAUCUCAGUUCGGAUUGUAGGCUGCAACUCGCCUACAUGAAGUCGGAGUUGCUAGUAAUCGCGAAUCAGAACGUCGCGGUGAAUGCGUUCCCGGGUCUUGUACACACCG